UUGUGUAGUAGGUUUCUCUUGGCUAACUCACAGAUCCCUUAAGAAAAAAAAAAUGCUUUGAUACCAGUUUGUUGGUUUGUUUUACAGAAGAGACGAGAAUAAAAAAUUGAGAGAAGAAGAUUGAUCAUUAUUGAUGGCAUAAUUUCAUAAUUAAAUAAAUUGAUUUAAAAACUGAAAAGAGGAACUAACUAGCUGAAAAUCAGCAACUGUGCCAACUAAUGCCACUAAGGCACUAACUGCUUAACAAACUCCUAAAAGACUUGGUAAAAGAAAUUAAAUUGAACAUGAGAAAAAAACAAAUUAAUCACUGAUGCACACAUUUAAACAUUCCAGCGCCGUCACAUGUCCCACUCCCUCUGAGAGAAAGGAAAAUUCUGGACAAUCAUAAAACGAUAACUGACAAAGAGAAGAUAAGCCACAAAUUUCAUUGACUGGUGGUGGAAAGGAGUUGAUUCCACACCUACUUAUAUGUAGUCUCUCCAAUGAAUUGAGACUACAGAGACCUUCUCGCAUGCUUUCAAGUUCUUUACGUUCCUCAAGGUGCAAAUAUUUUAGAGCAGCACACUAUCCGGAAGAGAAGUCAACUGAGGAUCGCCCCAAUGGAGUGCCAGGCGAGUAAUAGAGGUAAAGUUCUGAGCUAAUCUGAUCACCAUUUCAAUAACUCUAUUGAGUUCUAAUUUUUUGAGAAAUGGCAUAAUCGGUAAUUCAUCAAUUGAAGACAAUAGCGGACACUUAAGCUCUCAAGGACUGGAAAAAUGUCUCUACCACCGACCAUUGCCCAUUCCUGUAAACCACCCACGUAUUCAAGACUCAAGCUCUCCAAUGAUGGGAAUGAAGUUUCUCCAUUCCCGUAUAUCUCAUUCCCAAUACACUUCACACACUACCCAUUUUGCCUAACGUGAGAAUCCUAAGAAACUUCAGUUUCCCAAAAGGUGGAAGGUGUUCACAUCUAUCACAACUGACCAGCUCGAUUUUCACUAGAUUUGGUAGAAAUAAUUCCAUCAUCCAUUUUGGAAAUUUUGAACCUGGAUAUUUAAAUAUGCCUAACUUCUUUAGAUUUGAAUGGGGUUGGAGGCUAUCAAUGACCUUUUCUGAUAGGUUGCUAUUGUCUUUUCCUCCUGGUGACCAAGAUAGUUGUAGUGACUGAAGUUCUUUCUUCUACAUCAAAUUAGCAUUCUUUGCAUCUCCACAAUUUCUGACGCAACCAACCUUCUUAAUGCACAACUCUCCCCCGAGAUUCAAUUCUUUCAGCUCUCCUAUGCCACAACCAAUGUAGUUGCCCACAACGAAGAUGCUGAGCUUCCUCAGACGUGUCAAUUGUCCCAUUUCAGCAGGCAUAUAUCUAAGUGAAUCACAUCCAGUGAUGUCAGGUUGCAUGAGAUUUUUCAUGUGCUUCAAACCUUCUGGUAAUUUGUAGAGAUAAUUGCAAUUUUUAAGAUGCAGUGUCUGCAAGUUUUGGAGGGCGGUUAUUGAUGCCGGUAGACUUCCGAUACUUGACCUAGAGAAAUCUAAAUAUCUCAGAUGUUUCAAUCCAUCAAUUCACAUCGGCAGUUUAUCCAAAAGGACACUGGUAUCCAAGACUCUCAAAUGCUUCUGGCCAGACAAGUAGGAAGGCACCCGGUGGUUUGAGGAAUAAUAGUCCAUCCAAAGGAGUGAACGCAGUGAUUGAUCCUUGAAGAGGUUGUUGCUCUGAGGAGAAGAUUGCUCUGGAUUCCUAACAAUGCUAAAAUGCCGAGCCUUUUUUGGAACUUCAGAGACCUUGUUGAGUUCAAUCAAUUUGCACUCGUCUUUCAUAAUUGAUUGUGCAAGAUCAUGGACAAAAUCAUGCAUUUUACAUGCAGUGUUUCCUGAAAGAUCCUCUUCCACAUCUUGGAAAAACGACCUCCAAACUAAUUCACUAAAAGUCUCAUGGCCUUUAUAGUACAAAUCCAUUUCUCCUUUGCAAGUAAUGAAGCCAUUUGCCAUCCAUAAUCCUAUCCCUUUGUCCUUCUCCAUGCAGUAAUCUUUAGAAAAUAGUGAGCAAAAUGCAAGACAUUGUUUCAGAUACGGUGCUAGGUGAUUAUAACUUAACCUCAAAGCAAGUAAAAUAUUCAUGCUUCCUUCAUUUGGUAACUCCCAAAUCUCACUUUCCUUGACAGAUAACCAUUCACUCUCUUUUCUUUUGAGGCGCAGCACGCUUCCCAUAAUCUUUAUAGCUAAAGGUAACCCUCCACACUUCUCUUCGAUUCAAUCUCAUAAUGUGCCUUUAGGAUUUAUGAUUGAGAAAAUUGCAAAACAACUUAGUUCCCAGGUUGGAUUGGUUCAAGAAGUCGAUGUUGGACAGUCUGGUGCAUGCUUUGGUUGAUUUCUAUGAGCUAGAAUUUUUGUUGACAAUACGAAACUAUUGCAAGAAGGUCUAAUAUUGGAUUUGAGUGAUAUUAAAACUAAAUGCCCCAAGAUCUUACAGAUGAGAUGAUAAUGACCUUUUCUAGCUUAACUAAAAGUCUUGAGUCCGAACUUUAGGUAUGUAGUUUUGUUAAAACUCUUGAGGUAGUGCUUUACCACCCGGAAGGGUCCUGCACGCUCUGGAUUACUCUAGAUAAAUAGAAAGGAAUUGGAUCUGAAUGAUUUUGAAACUAAAUGUCCUAUUAUUAUUUCAUAUGAGCAUAAUAACUGACUUUUGUUAUAGUUGUGCUUAUGUUGGACAUGUUUAUAAGGAUUGUGAGAAGAUGGAUAAUGAGCAAAAGGUUAAUCUGAUCUUAAUUUUGGACCAUGGAUGAAGGAAAUCAACCCUUUCUUUAUGAGUAUUAAAGAAAAACAAUAGAGAAAUGGUAAGAAAUAAAAACUCAUGCAGCUCAUUCCAAUGAUGAACAAUGUAGCAAUGAGUCGUUGGAUGAAGCUCAACUUUCCAUGCAACAAUACGGGGAAGAGAAGGAAAAUGGUAGUUUGGACAUUAUCCCAAUACUUGAUGUUAAAGCUUCAUCACAUGGAUGGAUUAAUGUAGUAGACCAAGUUGAUUCAGCGGAAAAUUUGUAAGAUGCAAUGGUCUUUUAGAUGGGGUUGGGUAGUGAUAAUAUUUUGGAUAUUAAGACUACGAAUGUCAAUCGAAGCAAGACAAAAAUCAGUGGUGGUUGAAGAAGGCGUAAACCAAAUAUUAACAAGCAAGACAGAGCUGCAAAGGGGCCGAAUAAUGAAAGUGGUUUGAUCCCUAUUAAUAUUUGACUAUCAAAUUUAAUUGGGCAGCUUAGUGGGCAUGUUAGUGCUAAACGUAAUAAAGGCACAGUUGGUGACCAUGGGACAGAUGAUAUUAUUGAGCCAGUUAAUAAAUUUCAGGCGAGUUAAUAUUUCUCAAAAAGAUCUUGUUCCGGUGGAGGCUACUCAACAGCCCCACCAGUCCCCAUGAGUUGCUUAUGUUUGAAUGUUCAUAGGCUUGGGAAUCCAUGGUUAUUAAGAGGCUUCAACAAAUUGUUCGAGAGCAAGAUCCCAACCUUUUAUUUUUGUUUAAAAACAUUACAUUCUAAUUGCUGUAGUAAUUUUAAACUUUUAUUGCAUUUUGCUAUUA